AUUUCCGUGCCUAUAAAUAUACUAAGUCACAUCUCGUUACUAUUCUCAUUAUCCCAACAACCUCCAAAUAUUUGUCAGCCUCCAAAAAUAAUGGAUUCUGUUAGAAGAUUCAUUUCAUUAUUUCCUAUUAUUAUCUCCAUUAUUCUCACUCAAAAUAUCUUAUUAUUAGCAAAAGCAUCUAGGCCUAUGGGUGUGUUUGAAUGGAUGACAUCGUUGCCAAGAGGUGGAGUUCCAUCAUCUGGUUCUUCAUCUUGCACCAACAUUCCUGGUCUAGGUGGCAAUGGCUCUUGCCCAUAAACUUCAAAUUUUUGCUAUGCCUAAUCAGAACGAGUCCAAAAUUAAAGUGUUCCGUUUUUCUUCUUAAUUCUUCAAUCAGUAUAUAUAUGAUCGACUUCUCAUAGGAUCGCCGGGCAUGUCUAUCACCUCGCGUGUAUGUAGUAUUUAACCCAUAAAUACUAGUAAGGAGACUUACGGGUUUGUCCUUAAGGAAGUGUCCGUAGCAACCACGACUCGAAUUACUGGUCAUUGGGAAUCCUUACAACAUGAAUGAAAUCUCUUGUUUCCACAGCCUAAAAUCCCUUCAAUGAAUUCCACCGCCUAAAAAAAUGCAGAGAAUAUCUAACCCUAGUAAUCUCUUGCCUGGUAAAAGAACCCUCGGUUUUCAAUACCCAUAGUAGUGCUUAUAUAGACUAGUACUAGCGUUUUACAAGGAGAACUAGCUAAUCGGUUAACGGGCUAAUUAGCACCCUUAUAGAUGCAAUACAAAUUUUCGAACGGUGCAUGAUUGACUUUUCGUGGGUAAUAUGAUCUUUGUAAACCUUCCGUGGGGGGCAAGAAAGCUAAGGAGGAGAAAACAUAGCUUCCUUUUGAUAAUCAUGGACAUAUAGAUGAUAUUUUAGAAAAUUAAUUCUUUGGGAGUUUAGGUCUUCUCAUUCUUCAUUUAUGAUAUAGUUACUUUAGAAAAUUAAUUCUUUGAUAGUUUAAGUCUUCUCAUUCUUCAAUUUAUGAAUAUAGUUACUUUGUAGUUUUACUUUGUUAUUUUUCUUUAACUUGGAGAAAUCAUUGAACAAUUAUUGGUAAAUACAAGUAAUUGAAGUAAAUAAUGAUACAGAAAUGCAUGCCCGUAAAACUAUGGAAGUAAAAGAGGAGCAGAGCUCAAGCUUUAACUCUAAUGG
rnacentral:lncRNA from 1 species